rnacentral:misc_RNA from 1 species
AGGUCUGUUUUAUAAAGUUAGAAUCGCUAGUAAUUGCGCAUUAAAAUGAUAUGGCAAAUAUGUCUUUUGGCCUUCUUCUAUACACUGCUCGUCACACUGUCUAAGCUGAAAAUGCCUAAAACCAUUGUUCUAAUCUAUAAGAGAGUAAGAUAUUUGAGGUGUGUUUAGUGUGUGAUUAAAGGCUCAGCAAGGCGGCUGUAUUAUAAAAUAUGGUUGGAUUGUCUUCCUUUUUAAGAUAGAGAUAAAUUAAGAUAAAUUUCAUUAAUUCUUCUCUGUAUUUUUAUUUUGAUGAAAAUUUUUUUAAGUCAAAGUAAAUUUUUAGUUUAAACUUUAGAAAAAAUAAAUCUUUGAUAAGUAUUUGCUAUUAUAUAGUUUAGUAUUGAAUUAAGCGGUGUUAAUAGUAAAUCAUAAUUUUAAAUUUUGAAGUGAAAGGCUUUUAUAUUGCUAGAUGUGCAUUUUAAAUCUAAUAUGACGGCAAUUGGUUAUUUUAAAAUUGAGAUUAUAUUCUAAAUAUUGCUUAAUAUUUAACAAAUGUUUCAUUGUUUUGAUUAAUUGGCUUAAAGGAAUACCGAAGUGAUU